CGAGACUCCUACGGGAGGCAGCAGUGGGGAAUAUUGCACAAUGGGGGGAACCCUGAUGCAGCGACGCCGCGUGGGUGAAGGAGUAUUUCGGUAUGUAAAGCCCUAUCAGCAGGGAAGAACAAUGACGGUACCUGACUAAGAAGCACCGGCUAAAUACGUGCCAGCAGCCGCGGUAAUACGUAUGGUGCAAGCGUUAUCCGGAUUUACUGGGUGUAAAGGGAGCGUAGACGGCGAUGCAAGUCUGAAGUGAAAGGCGGGGGCCCAACCCCCGGACUGCUUUGGAAACUGUAUAGCUGGAGUGCAGGAGAGGUAAGUGGAAUUCCUAGUGUAGCGGUGAAAUGCGUAGAUAUUAGGAGGAACACCAGUGGCGAAGGCGGCUUACUGGACUGUAACUGACGUUGAGGCUCGAAAGCGUGGGGAGCAAACAGGAUUAGAUACCCCGGUAGAC
rnacentral:rRNA from 1 species